GACGGACGCUGGCGGCGUGCCUAACACAUGCAAGUCGAGCGAUGAAGUUUCUUUCGGGAAAUGGAUUAGCGGCGGACGGGUGAGUAACACGUGGGUAACCUGCCUCAUAGAGGGGAAUAGCCUCCCGAAAGGGAGAUUAAUACCGCAUAAUAUUACAGUUUCGCAUGAAACAGUAAUUAAAGGAGUAAUCCGCUAUGAGAUGGACCCGCGGCGCAUUAGCUAGUUGGUGAGGUAACGGCUCACCAAGGCGACGAUGCGUAGCCGACCUGAGAGGGUGAUCGGCCACAUUGGGACUGAGACACGGCCCAGACUCCUACGGGAGGCAGCAGUGGGGAAUAUUGCACAAUGGGGGAAACCCUGAUGCAGCAACGCCGCGUGAGUGAUGACGGUCUUCGGAUUGUAAAGCUCUGUCUUUGGGGACGAUAAUGACGGUACCCAAGGAGGAAGCCACGGCUGACUACGUGCCAGCCGCCGCUGUAACAC
rnacentral:rRNA from 1 species